AUGCUUAGAAGAAUGUACCAAGGAGGUUCCUCGGCAAAGAAAGGGCCAAGGAUUGCUAUACGUGAACAAGAUAUUAAAUUGCCAAGGGACGCAAAUGUACGGGCUUGUGAGUGGCCAUCCGAUGAUUUUAUGGUCGAAGCAGGCUUCAAGGAAGAAUUUGACGCGCAUGUGCGUAAUGCCGAGCUGGAGGACUUCUUACAAGAUAAGUGUCCUCAAUAUUAUCAGUUGACCGAUUCCUUUGUGCAGAGGUUCAAAUAUAUUUCUGCGCGUAAUUCUCCUAGUGUCAUGUUUGAUAUUUAUGAUACAUCUUAUACCAUGGAUUUAGAGGAUUUCACAACUGCUUGCAAACUCCCAUAG
rnacentral:rRNA from 1 species